GGGCCCAUAGCUCAGUUGGUUAGAGCAGCUGACUCAUAAUCAGCGGGUCUGAGGUUCGAAUCCUCAUGGGCCCA
rnacentral:tRNA from 1 species